rnacentral:rRNA from 1 species
CCAGACUCCUACGGGAGGCAGCAGUGAGGAAUAUUGGUCAAUGGCCGGAAGGCUGAACCAGCCAAGCCGCGUGAGGGAGGAAGGCGCAGAGCGUCGCAGACCUCUUUUGCCGGGGGACAAAAGGCCGGACUCGUCCGGUCCUGAGGGUACCCGGAGAAAAAGCAUCGGCUAACUCCGUGCCAGCAGCCGCGGUAAUACGGAGGAUGCGGGCGUUAUCCGGAUUUAUUGGGUUUAAAGGGAGCGUAGGCCGGCUUUUAAGUCAGCUGUGAAAGUCCGCGGCUCAACCGUGGAAUUGCAGUUGAAACUGGAGGCCUUGAGUGCACACAGGGAUGCCGGAAUUCAUGGUGUAGCGGUGAAAUGCAUAGAUAUCACGCAGAACUCCGAUUGCGAAGGCAGCAUACCGGCGCGCAACUGACGCUCAUGCACGAAAGCGUGGGUAUCGAACAGGAUUAGAUACCCCAGUACAC